rnacentral:rRNA from 1 species
CAUCCGUAGCUCGCCGUUUAAGUCUCUUGUGAAAUCCUACGUCUCAAGCGUAGGGCUUGCAGGAGAUACUGAGCGGCUAGAGAUCGGUAGACGUAAGGAGUACGCCGGAGGUAGUGGUAAAAUACGUUAAUCUUCGGUGGACUAACAAUGAGCGAAGGCACCUUACGAGGACGAAUCUGACAGUGAGGGAUGAAGGCCAGGGGCGCAAAACGGAUUAGAUACCCGUGUAGUCCUGGCAGUAAACACUGCUCACUAAACAUCGGGCCCUCUUCGGGAGGAUUCGGUGCUGAAGCGAAGGCGAAGAGUGAGCUACCUGGGAAGUAUAGUCGCAAGAUCGAAACUUAAAGGAAUUGGCGGGGAGACAUACAACGAGUGACGCGUGCGGUUCAAUUAGAUUUUACACCGUGAACCUCACCAGGAGCGACAGCAGGAUGAAGGUCAGUCUAAAGGGCUUACCUGACACGCUGAGCGGAGAUGCAUGGCCGACGUCAGCCUGUGCUGUGAAGUGACCUGUUAAAUCAGGUAACAGGCGAGACCCGUAUCAUUAAUUACUACAGAAAUGGGUACUUUAAUGAGACUGCCUUGGUAACAAGGAGGAAGGUGCGGGCUACGUUAGGUGAGUACGUCCCUAAUCCCCUGGGCUACACGCGCGCGGCAAUGGUAUGUUCAAAUGGAUGCGACUCCGAAAGGAGAAGCUAAUCCCCUAACGCAUAUCCCAGUCCAGAUAGAGGGUUGCAACCCACCCUCUUAACGUUGGAAUUCGUAGUAAUCGGAUAUUAGCACUGUCCGGUGAAUAAGUCCCUGUCUC